rnacentral:rRNA from 1 species
UAGGACGAACGCUGGCGGCGUGCCUAACACAUGCAAGUCGAACGGAGUUACUGUUUAGAUCCCUUCGGGGUGACGAACUUUAACUUAGUGGCGGACGGGUGAGUAACGCGUGAGUAACCUGCCUCUGAGAGGGGAAUAACGUUCUGAAAAGAUCGCUAAUACCGCAUAACAUAUUGAAGUCGCAUGGCUUUGAUAUCAAAGAUUUUAUCGCUCGGAGAUGGACUCGCGUCCGAUUAGCUUGUUGGCGGGGUAACGGCCCACCAAGGCGACGAUCGGUAGCCGGACUGAGAGGUUGAUCGGCCACAUUGGGACUGAGACACGGCCCAGACUCCUACGGGAGGCAGCAGUGGGGGAUAUUGCGCAAUGGGGGGCCAACCCUGACGCAGCAACGCCGCGUGAAGGAAGACGGUUUUCGGAUUGUAAACUUCUUUUGUCAGGGACGAAAUUUGACGGUACCUGACGAAUAAGCUCCGGCUAACUACGUGCCAGCCGCCGC